CUACUCUGCCUCCGUCGCUGCAUAUUCAGCGAACGGGUUUAGUCGCCCGGGAU
rnacentral:ncRNA from 1 species